GUGGACAUCUUCAAUAAGGAGCUACUGCUAAUCCCCAUCCACCUGGAGGUGCAUUGGUCCCUCAUCUCUGUUGAUGUGAGGCGACGCACCAUCACCUAUUUUGACUCGCAGCGUACCCUAAACCGCCGCUGCCCUAAGCAUAUUGCCAAGUAUCUACAGGCAGAGGCGGUAAAGAAAGACCGACUGGAUUUCCACCAGGGCUGGAAAGGUUACUUCAAAAUGUACUGCAAGCAUCUGGCCCUGUCUCAGCCAUUCAGCUUCACCCAGCAGGACAUGCCCAAACUUCGUCGGCAGAUCUACAAGGAGCUGUGUCACUGCAAACUCACUGUGUGAGCCUCGUACCCCAGACCCCAAGCCCAUAAAUGGGAAGGGAGACAUGGGAGUCCCUUCCCAAGAAACUCCAGUUCCUUUCCUCUCUUGCCUCUUCCCACUCACUUCCCUUUGGUUUUUCAUAUUUAAAUGUUUCAAUUUCUGUAUUUUUUUUUCUUUGAGAGAAUACUUGUUGAUUUCUGAUGUGCAGGGGGUGGCUACAGAAA
rnacentral:lncRNA from 1 species